rnacentral:sRNA from 1 species
GGGGCGUCGCCGCGGGGCGCUAGGGCCCGGGUCCCUGAGGCCUGAGAGAGGCGAAGUGGGGCCCUUCUGGGCGGGCGACCAGACUGACUCCCGCCCCACUUGCUCGCGCAGGACGAGGCGGUGGCGCGCGAUGUGCAGCGGUUGCUAGUGCAGUUCCAGGAUGAGGGCGGGCAGCUGCUGGGUUCCCCGUUCGACGUGCCCGUGGACAUCACCCCGGACAGGCUGCAGCUCGUGUGCAACGCGCUACUGGCCCAGGAGGAUCCCCUGCCACUGGCUUUCUUUGUCCACGAUGCUGAGAUCGUCUCCUCACUGGGGAAGACGUUGGAGUCCCAGGCAGUGGAGACAGAGAAGGUCCUAGACAUCAUCUACCAGCCACAGGCUAUCUUCAGAGUCCGGGCUGUGACUCGCUGCACUAGCUCCUUGGAGGGUCACAGUGAGGCAGUCAUUUCUGUGGCCUUCAGCCCCACGGGAAAGUACCUGGCCAGUGGCUCUGGAGACACCACCGUGCGCUUCUGGGAUCUCAGCACAGAGACACCACAUUUCACAUGCAAGGGACACAGACACUGGGUCCUUAGUAUAUCCUGGUCUCCAGAUGGCAAGAAGCUGGCCUCAGGCUGCAAGAAUGGCCAGGAACCCUGAGUGCCGCUAUGUGGCCAGCAGCUCCAAGGAUGGCAGUGUGCGGAUCUGGGACACAACUGCAGGCCGCUGUGAGCGCAUCCUCACCGGGCACACCCAGUCGGUCACCUGUCUCCGGUGGGGAGGGGACGGGCUUCUCUACUCUGCCUCCCAGGACCGCACCA